CUGCAAGACCCCAGGAGAGUCCACCAAGGAGAAUUUCCCCGGGCCAGGUUAGUCCCAGAUGACUUUUCCACAGUCACUGGCCCGUGAUCAGGUACGGCAGGAGUCUCCCUGAAUCUGGACAGAAUCACCGUGCAGGUCCAGGCUCACCGCAAAUACUGUCAAGCUCUAUCACUGCUCGCAGCUCACCAAGAUGAUCGUGGACCCUGAAAAGGACAAAGGACACAUUGCCCUGGACUUCCUACUGCCGAGGUGGACUUGGGACCCAAGAUCACUGCAGCCAGUCAGAGCCGAUGCUAGCUGGAACAGACGCCGCCAAGACUAGGACCAGGGUCGCACGUGGCUUCUGGCAGCAGGACUGUUUUGCAGGGCUCAUUUGUAAGCAAACCUGGGGGUGGGGUGCUUAGGGCCUGCCCAUGGGCGGUGCUCAUAGCUCCUGCACCGCACUCGAGGCGAAGAUGCUGCAUUUACAGCUCCAUUUUACCCAAGAGAAUGAUCAUGCUCAUGCAUUGCCUGAGACUGGGGUAGAUUUGCAAAGGCUCGCCCUUGGCCACUUUCGCUGACACCAAGCUGCCCCACAUCCGAAUCUCAGACCUGCUGGGCCUUGUACCUUCUUAGGAAUGCCGUCAGGCUGCAGCUGCAGCACAUGUGGAUUAGUGUGAGCCUACACCCUCUGCCUAGCGCUGUGAUGAUGGGACUCAGAACGCGAGGAGCUGUGCUGAGUGGGGAAAAGGGAUGGGUGCGGUCAGUGUCUAGGCCCCAAGUCUCAUGCUGUGUGGAUCAAGACAGAAAGUCACAGCCAUGGGAAACUGAUAAUCUCGGGGAGGGCACUGCAGGGCCACUCAAGCUUGACAGAUACAGACUGAAAUCCGAGUUUGUUCCGCUGUUUGCUUGUAAAGGCACUGCUUGGUUCCAGAAUGGGGCUCGGGUCUCCUGCUGGGAUCUCUGGCUUGCUUAUGGAGCAUCCGGCUUGCGCUUGAUGCUGACCACACUGUGACGGGCCAGGACCUGAGCUCCCAGACAAAAUCUCCUCUUAGUUUUAUGCCCUGCUCUCUGGGGGAUGGAAUUUUACUUCUUUUGCUGACAAAGUCCAGAGCUGGAUAGAGGAAGCAGUCUCUUCUCAGCCUGGAGAGCACGGUUCCAAAGCUGAGUCGAUGUGCCAUGGGCCCCUGGCAGCCGUCGUGGUGCCUUGCCCGGCCCUAGGUUUUCCAUGUUUGGGGUGACAGCAUCCACGAUGAAGAAGCAGAUGUAUUUUACACGAAGGGCUUCAUUCAAGGCAGGACACAUAACAAGUAUGUGUUCAUCUUAGAGUUUCCUUUUUGUUCUUUCAGAAGCAUCCCCACAUUCUAUGCUGUACCCCAGAUGCUCGUAAGAUAACCAUGCAGUAUCUUAAAACCACAGUGCCUAAUGCUGAUUUGGGCUCUGUAGUUUUAAAUGAUGACAUGAUACACGCUUAGCUACCUGGCUAUUGGGUUUAGACAGAUGUGUUUAUGUUUUCCAACUUUGCUAUUGGAAAUGGUACGUCAUGAUGUCCAGGGAAAAUCCUAAAAUUCAGGGACCUUCUGGAAAAGUGAAUUACUGUUGUUUCAAGAAACGGAAGACUAAAGCGAAACAUAAACUCUGAAAGAUAAGGAGUAAAAACAAACCAUCAAGAUUUACUAGUGCAGACUGAAUGACCAUAAAUAAGUGUAAGAGUUAGUUUCAGGAUAUAUAAGGUGACGGGAAAGAAACUGAUUUAAAUAAUAAAGCUGAUGGAAAUAGGAGUGAGGAGAGAAAUUAUUAAUAUUGACGGCACAGCUAUUACUUGCUGUUGUUUUCACACACAGCGGUUCAUAUUAAUAUUUCAAUAGUCUUGUAGAUCUACAAAUAUAAUUCUGCACUGUAGCAAUCGGUGAGAGAGGUUGCGUGAACCAUCGUUGAAUGACUGGGACUGUAUCACAGACUUCUGUGACUACACAGCCCGCUGAGAGUGCAGGUGGGAAAAAUGUUUGCUUUGAGCUACAGGAUUAAAAUUGUCGUGACUGCAGCUUCUAGGGAGGCAACUGUUUUUAAAGAGUGGGUGGAAAAACAGUUUAAGAACAAAGGAUCUUGGGUAUUAAAUACUGAAGUUUUCGCAAGUAAUGCUGGUCCUGUCAGAAAAGCGAUGUGGAUACAUAGAGGCUGCAUGCAUUCAUAGAAUUUUUUGGGAUGCAAAUACGCACAGAAGGAAUGCUUAAGGGAUUAUGAAGGGAGAAGCAGGAUAAAUGUUAAUGAGGUGUGUGCAUUUAUAUUUGUAGGAAAGAAUGGAAAUCUCGGAAAUAAGUUACAGGAAUAUUCUCAGUAGAGAACAGAAUGUCGAAAGCACACUGUUGUGGAAAGCUAGGAUGUAUCCUCAGAACUAAAAGAACAUUGGUAUUAAAAGAUGAAAAAAGAAACCAUAAUUAUCAGAAGUCAGUGGUUAGACAAUUGAUGGAGUUAUUGAAUAAGUUUAAUUCACGAAUGAUAUUGGCUAAAAAUGUGAAGUAAUUAUACACACGAGUAUCAAAUAUGUACUUAGAAUAUGUUAAUUUCAAUAUCCUUCAAUGAUUAUUUUCAAUUUUAUUUUUAUGCAACGUAAUGAUCUGGCUUGCAUAAUGAAUACUAGUUAUGAGACAGUUUAAGGUGGAACGAAUCAUCAUCUACUGGAUAGUUUGAGAAAUUGUCUGGUGACUUACAUGUUCCUCAGUGUUUCUGAUCAGUAGAGCCUGACCCCUUGCUACCCAAGCCGCUGGGUGGAUGGGGAGGGCGUUUGUAUGAAAGUGGAGUUCUAACUAGAGGGAGAGAAGUGUAAAUAUGGAAAAAAAAAUGACUCCAGUAAACUUAUCCAUUGUCUUUCACCUGAUUUUGCCUAAAACCUGCCCUAUCCCUUGGCUUCUUAGUUAUUUCUUUCUAUUUAUUUGCUUUUUUUUCUACUGGGAAUUGAACUGAUGACUGUGUGCUUGCAAGGCAGGUGCUUAUGCUGCUGAGCUAAAUCCACAGCCCCUUUUAUUUGCUUUUACCUACGAAAUCUGAGUUGUAUUUUCUAUCUGUGGAUUCCAAAUUGAGGCAAAGGAGGGCGAAGCGAUGGAGAGCUUACUGGAUAAAAGGGAGUUACUGGCUCUUCAGGGCGGGAGCUGUAAGAGCCGCAUACUUAAGACCUCAGAUUCCUGCUGCCCAGAAACUUUACAGGCUUUGAGAGACCUUCCAUGCACCCCACCUCCAGUGUGUGCAACAGCUUAGGGAACAUUAAUAUUUGCAUCUGUUUGUGUUCCCAGAGAGAUGGAGGUGCAGCAUUUUCACCGGUGUUUCAACAAAAUCUGUGAUCUGUAAAUUUGAAAGGAAAAUUAAUCACUUGGCCUUUUGGCCAAGAUCAAGUGUAAGGAAAAUUAAGUGCAUACAGCAUUAAAUUCAAACACACGCUCUUUGGGAUAAUGAGCUUUCUCUAUUUACAGGAUUACUGAAGGCAGUUUCAAAAAUUAUGACAAUAAAAUUUGAAUGCUAGGGGGCUGUGUAAUAGCAUUUUUCCAUUUUUAGCUUAAAUUCAAAGCAAGAUUCUUUGAAAUGCAUUUAUUUUUGUUCUGAGAUAUAAGAUAUGCAGGUGUAAUUAACUUCAGAUCAUUAUAAAUCAAUUAUCCCUGAGAUUAAGAGAGCGCUGACACUUGUAGUGACAUUUUCAUCAUCGGCUUUUGACAGAGACACGUAUACACACUUUUUAAAAUAGCAGCAAAUUAGAGAUCCAGUGGAGAAGUUUGAUAUAUGGUAAUCUUUUCAGAACAAAUUUAAGCUUGUUCUAAAAAUAUUUCAUAAAGGUAUAAAACAUGGUUUGCAUGAUUACUGUGACUUUCUCUGAUUUUCUACCUAAAUAAUUUAUGCCACAGUAAUUUCCAUGGAACAAAUAUGCCAACAUUUUAUCUUAAUAUUUUUGUUUUCACAGAACUCUUUUGCUUAUGAAUUUUAAUCACCAAGCAACCUAAUUUUGUUGACUAGUGGUAUGCGAAGGUUUGUAUUAAUGAUAUUUUACACAUUGCUGUUUUACAAUACAUAUUUUCACCACAGGAAAAAAAGGAUAUUUGAUUAGAGAAUUCAAAUUUACAGAAUGAUAGAGAAACAAAAUUUAGAGGUAAAGAGAAAUAACAUUUUGGAAUGAGGUUGUCCUUUUUGUGUUGCAAAUUCUACUCAAAUUCAAAUCACUAAACCUUGAGUGAUUUCUUUUGGUUUGCAUAUAUAUAUAUAUAUAUAUAUAUAUAUAUAUAUAUAUAUAUAUUAGCAUAUUCCCCUGACAUGAACAUAACUGGCUAGUAGGGUCUGUUUAAUGUGGCAGGAGAGGCUGCUCCCUGAAGCUGCUGAUUUCUUGUGUGGUGCGCCCACCUACUGGAUUAAGCAUUGCCAACUGAAGAGUGGCGUGCCUCAGGGUGUGUGGCUGAGGUGUCCAGAGAGCACUAGUGGUCAGCCAGCAGGUGGAGGGGCAGCACCCAUCCUGACUUCGCUUCGAACCGUCUUGCAGCCUGGAUGAAGUGAAGCCUGCUUUGGGAAGUCUCCAUGCCGCUUGCUGCACGUGUUUUGGCUGCUGCCAGUGCCUGUGAACACGCACUCGGAGUUCUCCAGCCUUUUAAGGAUCCCGACCAGAGACUCAAGGGAGCUUCCAGGUCUUCAGCCUUGGACUGUCGCUACAUCAUUGAAACCCCUUGUUCUGAUGCUUCUGGCUUUUCCUACUAAGCAGCUCCUGGAAACUCUGGGUCAGCAGGGUGCCAUCAUGCACCAUAGGCAGUCCCACCACUAAUUCUACGAGCUAUCUAAUAAAUAUGCUUGCAUUAUUCCAUAAGUAUUUUAUUGUUUCAAUUCCUGAGAAUUCAAUUCCUCUACAAUGUGUGGACUGUAAGUCUCCUUUCUUAGUCCUUCAUUUAUAGGCAUGCAGGUAUUACUCAAUUUGAUGGGAGCUAAUAAAUGAAAAUGACUCAAAAUCUUUCAAAGUACAUUGACAAAAUUUCUACUUUCUAUAGGAAUAAGUAUAUUCUGGAGAAAGAGAUGGCAUUUUUCUUUCUUAUUUUGCUUUGUUUUAGGUAGAGUCUUGAGAACUGUAAUGGCUGAUACAUUGUGCCAACUUGAGAAGUUCAGAAGUUUAACCAAGUGACUCACCAGUUCUAUAUCCUAGGGUAUAGAAGACAUGCCCUAGGGCAGCUGCUUAUGCUCUAGGAUGUUGUAAUGGUUGAUUGAUUGUGUGAAUUGGAGAAGUUUAGAAGUUAAGGGAUUCAGCAGGGAGCUUGGGUACUCAUUUUGUAAACAUACUGAGUCUGUGCAAGAGGAGGGCAAGAAGAUGGUGUGAAUGCUACACCCACUGAGUGUAACUUGCAUACAAUGUAAGGGAAGAAAAGAGGCUUUCUCUCCCAGUUCCACAUUUUUUCAUUUUUUAUAUCUUCUACCACCAUGAACUGUUGCCCCUCUGCCAUGCUGCCUUGCCUUGGCCCCAGCUAAUUAUAGACUGAACCCUCCACAAACUAUUAGCUGAAUAAAUCUUUCCUUCCUUAACUGAGUGUUGGGUAUUUUGCCUCAGUAAUGUGAGAAAAGUGACUAAGACCAGAACUAAGCAUAUAUUUAUUCCUAGAGAAAAAAAUAAUUGAAGUGAAUUAAUAAAUAUAGGAUGAUUAUUCUGCAAUUUUACAUAGUUAAAUUUGACUUUUGCAAAAGACAGAAUCAAUCUGAUUCUUGAAGUCUGACAUUUUUUCCUUUAAGGUCCUGGAAAAGGUGAAGUAAUGGAUCUUUCACACUCAUUAUGACUCUAAUGAAUUUCUUCCAAAUAGCCCAUUGCUGUAGCUUCUACAAUUCUGGCCAUAGUUCAGUAGACCUGGAAAGGUUACAAAAUGAAAAGGAAGGUGAAGAGCAUCAUGAAUGCAUGCAGGAAGAGGGCUGUUAGUAAUUCAUUGGUUCAUUUAGAUUCUUAUGGAUCAUGGAUUUCCACGGUAACUAAUGUUUCUUCCAUGGAUUAGAGAACAUAUAAUUUAGAGGUGUUCAGAUUGUCUCCAUUUCUUGAAAUUAAAUGAAUGCAAAUAGUAAUCAUGGCUAUAUUUUGCUAUGUUUUGUGAUAAUGUAAUACAGUGGAGUAUUCCAGAAAGUUGUGGUCUCCAUUAAAGAAAGCACUAAAAUGAUUCUGGCUCAAUACUUAAUACCUAGUUGGUGCUCACUAUAUAUUUAUAAAAGGAAUGCAGUAAGUGACUGUGUGCAGGUGCAGAAGUACAACAAGGAAUUAGAAACAAGGAAGCAAAGAACUAAAUACUUUUACUCAGUAAACUAAUAUGAAAUCAACUUUGGAUAACAGGCACACACUAAAACUUUCAAAAUCAACAUUUGUAGGUCACUAACUGCAUUAAAGAGUGAAAGAAAAUUGGAUGUAGAAUUGGAAGCAUUGCUUAGAGAUUUCCUAAGAAUUGAAUAUAAAAGGUUCUAGAAUAAAAGACAGGAAUGGGAAUAUUACUACUUUCCUUCCUUAAUAUUUGUAACUUGGUUUCUUGGUGGUUAUAAGUGAAUAAAAAGUCAUAUUUUAAGAA